rnacentral:rRNA from 1 species
GACGAACGCUGGCGGCGUGCUUAACACAUGCAAGUCGAACGGAAAGGCCCUGCUUUUGUGGGGUGCUCGAGGGGCGAACGGGUGCGUAACACGUGAGUAACCUGCCCUUGACUUUGGGAUAACUUCAGGAAACUGGGGCUAAUACCGGACAGGAGCCCCUGCUGCAGGGAGGGGGUUGGAAAGUUUCGGCGGUUGGGGAUGGACUCGCGGCUAAUCAGCUUGUUGGUGGGGUAGUGGCUUACCAAGGCUUUGACGGGUAGCCGGCCUGGGAGGGUGACCGGCCACAAUGGGACUGAGAGACGGCCCAGACUCCUACGGGAGGCAGAGGUGGGGAACAUUGCACAAUGGUCGGAAGCCUGAUGCAGCAACGCCGCGUGCGUGAUGACGGCCUUCGGGUUGAGAACCGCUUUCGCCUGUGACGAAGCGUGAGUGACGGUAAUGGGUAAAGAAGCACCGGCUAACUACGUG